rnacentral:rRNA from 1 species
CCUUAGGGGGAUGCGGUCUAUAAUGCAGUCGAGCGAGUCCUUCGGGGGCGAUCGGCGGACGGGUGAGUAACACGUAGGCAACCUGCCUCUCACACUGGGAUAACAUAGGGAAACUUAUGCUAAUACCGGAUAGGUUUUUGGAUCGCAUGAUCUGAAAAUAAAAGAUGGCUUUUCACUAUCACUGGGAGAUGGCCCUGCGGCGCAGUACCUAGUUGGUGGGGUAACGGCCUACCAAGGCGACUAUGCGUAGCCAACCUGAGAGGGUGACCGGCCACGCUGGGACUGAAACACGGCCCAGACUCCUACCGGAGGCACCAAUAGGGAAUUUUCCACAAUGGACUAAAGUCUGAUGGAACAACGCCACGUGAACGAUGAAGGUCUUCGGAUUGUAUUUUUCUGUUGUCAGGGACUAAUACGUACCGUUCAAAUAGGGCGGUACCUUGACGGUACCUGACAAGAAACCCACGGCUAACUACGUGCCAACCUCCCGCGGUACC